CCAAACUGGAGGCAACUGCCUAGGUUGCAUUGUACCUAGGCAAGUGUUACACUGCUGGGAGAAAACCAACCAGUAGCUAGCUGGCAUUCUGGGUCUGGUUAAUGCCAACUCU
ensembl:snoRNA SNORA74 Small nucleolar RNA SNORA74